rnacentral:tRNA from 1 species
CGCGGGGUGCAGUAGUGGUCAACUGACCGGCCUCAUAAGCCGAAGCCGCAGGUUCGAAUCCUGCCCCCGCCACCA